rnacentral:rRNA from 1 species
UACAGAGGGUGCAAGCGUUGUUCGGAAUUACUGGGCGUAAAGGGGAGGUAGGUUGUCUUGUGCGUCUGGGGUGAAAGCCCUGAGCUUAACUCAGGAAGUGCCUCGGAUACGGCAAGACUAGAGUACUGGAGAGGGUGGUGGAAUUCCCGGUGUAGCGGUGAAAUGCGUAGAGAUCGGGAGGAACACCAGAGGCGAAGGCGGCCACCUGGACAGUCACUGACACUCAACUCCGAAAGCGUGGGGAGCAAACAGG